AUAGUUUUGUAUUGGAAUGAGUUAGAGUAUAAACCCCUUUACAAGUAUCAAUUGGAGGGCAAGUCUGGUGCCAGCAGCCGCGGUAAUUCCAGCUCCAAUAGCGUAUAUUAAAGUUGUUGCAGUUAAAAAGCUCGUAGUUGGAUUUCUGUUAAUAAUUUAUAUAUAAUAUUUUAUUAAUAUUUAUAUAGUAUUAACAUAAUUCAUAUUACUAUAUUUUAUAGUAUAUGAAAUUUUACUUUGAGAAAAUUAGAGUGCUUAAAGCAGGCAUUACCCUUGAAUACUCCAGCAUGGAAUAAUAUAAAAGAUUUUUAUCUUUUUUAUUGGUUCUAAGAUAAAAAUAAUGAUUAAUAGGGACAGUUGGGGGCAUUUGUAUUUAACAGUCAGAGGUGAAAUUCUUAGAUUUGUUAAAGACAAACUAGUGCGAAAGCAUUUGCCAAGGAUGUUUUCAUUAAUCAAGAACGAAAGUUAGGGGAUCGAAGACGAUCAGAUACCGUCGUACUCUUAACCAUAAACUAUGCCAACUAGAGAUUGGAGGUUGUCCUUUACCUCC
rnacentral:rRNA from 1 species